rfam:Dictyocaulus viviparus strain HannoverDv2000 D_viviparus-1.0_Cont45.27, whole genome shotgun sequence.
GCCUCGGUAGUGUUAUGGAUCAGAACGGCGGACCGGAUAUCUGUAAGUGCGGGUUCGAAUCCCGCGUGAGGUU